UCAACUCACUGGUACUCAAGGAAGAGGAAGAGAAGACAGGGAAGUCUCUGUAUUGCCUUUGACCAAAGAACUGAGGUCGUACUGGAAAGAGUUUAUAAAAACAAAUCCCUUUUGAGUUGCUCCUGUCUCAGAAGACAACAGCUUAUCCAUGAGAAAGGAUAAACUCUCUCCUGUGGCUGAUAUUUAUGGGAAUGCAAGCUGACAGAUACAUGAAUUGCACUUUGGAAGAACUUCCUCCAACCUCAAUCACUUUCAGCUCCGUUCUGUCCCUGAGGGAGCCAGCGAGACCUUGCCCUUCGUGGCCUUUAUUCGGAACAAGCCAACAUUGACUGGAUCACAUGGACUGAAGAUUACAGAACAAAAACAGAAUAAGGAGAAAGAAGAUUCAGGAAAGAAUAAGUCCAGAAAAUGGGAGUUACAUUUCACUUUCCAAAGGGAAGAGGCAGAAGAGAAAUAAAGAAGAUAGUCCUGCUUUAUGUUAUACAGCUCUAGGUAGGCAACUACAGAAAGAAUGAAAGAAAUUCUUCAAUGUAAGGUGGUUCCACCUUUUGUCAAGAUGUGACCAGCUGGAAAACUCAAAACAUUUUGAGGAGAUGCUCUCUGCCACAGGGAUUACCGCAAUACAUGUAGGAUCAAAGAAAAGUCCACAUUUUACCCUGGUGAUUAGCUGUAAUUAAAUAAAGUAAGUCUUUUUAAACUUCAUUAGCAGCAAGACGUUUGCUACAGCAGAGUGGGCACAAAUCAUCCAUUCUUAAUUAAAAGAUAAUCCACAGGAUGGCCAUAAUCUUCUUCUAAAAAUACACCAUUUCCCCCUGAAAGAUUUUCUCAUCAAAUAAGGAUAAAUAACAGUUUCUAUGAGUUGAAGUCAUGAAGGAAUGGUUGCUCCUCCUGUUUGCUUGAGUGAGUGCUGAAUGUGGCUGAUAACAUCACUUUGGCAUGCUAUUAUCUAAAAUGGUAGAAUACCUCACUUCAGCAAAGUCUGACAUAAAUCUUUGAAAACAAAGACAUUGCAUAUGUAUGAGCUGAAAUAGAUAUGACAGUGUUGGCACAUUAAUAUUCCUGUCACUAGGGGGUUUCAAACUUUUAAGGAGAGGAUAGGAAUGAAUUCAGACUAUAGCUGGUGAAAUAGGGCAACGUAUAGUAGGACAAUUAGGCAUUGCUAACAGUAAUAAAAUAUGUACAGAGAAAGGGUUCUCCUGCUCCCUGCCUUUGGUAAAAAAUGACUGUAGGAUCGUCUCUUGGGAAUGCCAAGAAUAAUUAAUUUGGCUUAGAGAUUUGCAUGGUUGUUCUAAGCAUACUAAUAAGAAUAUUCCGUAAAGACCAGUCCCAAUCAAUAGAAGAGAGAACUGCUUUUUCUUGUGUAGCCACUGUGGUGGUUCAUGGGUAACAGAUGUUUCCACUUAUUCCACAACAACCCUCAUUAAAAGUAACCGUGGGUCCUAAUUGAAUAGUUCUCCACAUAGUUGGA